CUUUGUGUCACUGGAGAUCACUCUACUCCAGUUGAAUAUGGAGACCAUAGUUUUGAACCAGUUCCAUUUGCCUUGUGCCGGUUAACAGACUUUGUGGGUGCAGUGGGUGGAGAGCCCAUUGUUGUGGCAACUUCCCUUGAGCCAUUUCCUCUUCCAACCAUUAAGGCUGGUGAAGACCUAGAUGAAGAUAAGAUGGGAAAGGAGAGAGUGAGCAAACAACUUAAAGCAUUCAGUGGUGACUCGGUUUGUGAAUUUAGCGAGAUAGCGGCAGCUUAGCGAGAUAGCAGCAGCAAGGGGAUGUCUUGGACGGUUUCCUGGAGGAGAGAUGAUGGGUGUGAUAAAGGCAUUUCUUAAAUUAAAUGCAUGAGAUGUUUUUAUAGGAACUAGGAGGGUUGGAAAAAUGGUUUUCCUAAUAAAAGAUCAUUUUGAAAC
rnacentral:misc_RNA from 1 species